AGAAAAUUAAGUUAACCAUAAACUAAUGACCUUCAAAGCCAUAAAUAAGAGUUUAAUCCUCUUAAUCUCUG
rnacentral:tRNA from 1 species